UACGGAGGGAGCUAGCGUUGUUCGGAAUUACUGGGCGUAAAGCGCACGUAGGCGGCUUUGUAAGUUAGAGGUGAAAGCCCGGAGCUCAACUCCGGAACUGCCUUUAAGACUGCAUCGCUUGAAUCCAGGAGAGGUGAGUGGAAUUCCGAGUGUAGAGGUGAAAUUCGUAGAUAUUCGGAAGAACACCAGUGGCGAAGGCGGCUCACUGGCUCGAUACUGACGCUGAGGUGCGAAAGCGUGGGGAGCAAACAGG
rnacentral:rRNA from 1 species